CCUACGGGAGGCAGCAGUGAGGAAUAUUGGUCAAUGGGCGCGAGCCUGAACCAGCCAAGUCGCGUGAGGGAAGACGGUCCUAUGGAUUGUAAACCUCUUUUGUCGGGGAGCAAAAGACGCCACGCGUGGCGUUCCGAGAGUACCCGAAGAAAAAGCAUCGGCUAACUCCGUGCCAGCAGCCGCGGUAAUACGGAGGGGGCAAGCGUUAUCCGGAAUUACUGGGUGUAAAGGGAGCGUAGACGGGUAAGUAAGUCUGGAGUGAAAGGCCGGGGCCCAACCCCGGGACUGCGCUGGAAACUAUUGAACUUGAGUGCAGGAGAGGUAAGCGGAAUUCCUAGUGUAGCGGUGAAAUGCGUAGAUAUUAGGAGGAACACCAGUGGCGAAGGCGGCUUACUGGACUGUAACUGACGUUGAGGCUCGAAGGUGCGGGUAUCAAACAGGAUUAGAUACCCUGGUAGUC
rnacentral:rRNA from 1 species